AUGCAAAAUUUUGUGUAAUACUUAUUAUUUAUUUUAGAUAGAGAAAAAGCAGUAAUUAUAAUUAUAUUUUUUAAUGAAAGUUAGAACUAUAAAUUGAUUUAGAGCUCAACUAAUUUUGUGCCAGCAGUUGCGGUUAUACAAUUGAGCUAAUAAAAUUUUAAAAAUAAAUUAGUUAUUCUUGUUUUUUAUUUAAAUUGAAAAUUUAAGGGUAAAAUCUAAUUUUUUAAGUUGAAAUUUAUACAUAUAAUUAAGAAACUAAAGCAUAAAUUAGGAUUAGAUACCCUAUUAUAUAAGUGUAAAUUUAUUGGAGUAGUAAGAGUUAGGAUCUUUAAACUCAAAAAAUUUGGCGGUAUUUUAUCUUAUUAGAGGAACCUGUUUAAUAAUUGAUAUUCCACAACUUAAACUUACUUCUAUUAAAUUAUUUGUAUACCGCUGUCAUGAAUCUAUUAAAAAAUUAUUUUCAAAAUUUAUUAUGUAAGUUAUGUUAGGUCAAGGUGCAGUAUGUAGAUGAACAAAAUGGGUUACAUUAUUUAAUAUGAAUGGAGAUAUAUUACGAUAUAAUAUAAAAAAUAGGAUUUAUAAGUAAAAAAUUUAUUAAAGAUUUUAUAUGAAUAAAGAUUCUAAAAUAUGUACACAUUGCCCGUCGCUCUUGUUUAAAAUAAGAUAAGUCGUAACAUAGUAGAUGUACUGGAAAGUGCCUCUGGAAUUAUG
rnacentral:ncRNA from 1 species